rnacentral:tRNA from 1 species
GCGCCGAUAGUUCAGUGGCAGAAUAUCUGAUUUCCAUUCAGAUGGCAGGGUUUCGAUUACCCUUCGGCGUA